AUUAUUGAAAUAAACCUGAUGAGCUGUUGCUGGCUCUCUAGGGAGUAUGUGCACGCUUGUCGUCUUUAUAUCUCCACCUGUGCACUUUUUGUAGACCUGGAUAUCUCUCUGAUGCUUUUYAGCAUUUAGGUUGGAGGAUUGACUUGAUUGUCUUUCUUUACACUUCCAGGCCUAUGUUUCUUCAUAUACCCCAUUGUAUGUUACAGAAUGUAAUAAAUGGGCCUUUGUGCCUAUAAAAACCUUAUACAACUUUCAGCAACGGAUCUCUUGGCUCUCGCAUCGAUGAAGAACGCAGCGAAAUGCGAUAAGUAAUGUGAAUUGCAGAAUUCAGUGAAUCAUCGAAUCUUUGAACGCACCUUGCGCUCCUUGGUAUUCCGAGGAGCAUGCCUGUUUGAGUGUCAUUAAUAUAUCAACCUCUUCAGCUUUUGCUUGAGUGGUUGGAUGUGGGGGCUUUAAAUUUCUGCUGGACUUUUUUUCUUUUUGAGAAGAUCAGCUCCCCUAAAAUAUAUUAGCAGAACAAUUUUGUUGACCGUUCAUUGGUGUGAUAAAUAUCUACGCUAUUGACGUGAAGCAAGUUCAGCUUCUAACAGUCCAUUGACUUGGACAAAUUUUUCAUUAAUGUGACCUCAAAUCAGGUAGGACUACCCGCUGAACUUAAGCAUAUCA
rnacentral:rRNA from 1 species